UAUCCUGAAUUUAUCUGAUCUACAGACCAUUAAUUUUGGCUAUCCCAUCUUUCAAAAGUUUGAUUUAUUACUCAACCUUUUAAUUUACCUAGUUUAAGUCAGUCAACGAUACUUUGACUUCAAAAUUUAAGCUAAUUACUUAUUUUACUAAAUUUAUAGUUGUGAGAAUUAUAUAAAGUACACUAAUUAAAUAUGUAAAAAUAGAUAAUAUAUUCAAAUUUUAAAAUCAAAGUGCUCUUGACCGUCUUAAAUCAAACAGAUUGAAAGAUUGGACAGCAAAAUCAAAAUUUCAAAAAGAUGGAUAGUUAAGUCAAAAUAGCUAUAUUUCGUUUUUACCAAAACUUUAGUUAC
rnacentral:lncRNA from 1 species